CCAUAUCAGGUUGAAACACUAGUUCUCAUAAGUCCACUGAAAUUAAACAACAUUGAGCUUGGUCAGUACUUUGAUGGGUGACCGCUUGGUAAUACUAGGUGCUGUAAG